rnacentral:tRNA from 1 species
GCGAAAACGCACGGGAAUCGGACGGCCUCCGGAGCCGUGUGCGCAGGUUCGAAUCCUGCCGGGG